AGUUGGGACAACGUGACGCCAAUCGAAGAGCGUCACGGGGGUAUAGCUACGGCAUAUGAUGCCCAGCUCGGUUUGCCAUGACUCACACCAUCCCCUCGUCUGACCACCGAUGUAGACUAACCUGAAACAACAAUAAAUAAAUCGUUAGUAUGAUCCAAACAAAAGAAUCAAAUUUUAUUAUAUAUAAAGUAUAAUAAUU
rnacentral:lncRNA from 1 species